AUGGAAUGCUUAUCUAGAUGCAUAUAUCCCACUUAUUCUACUGCAAUCCAAACCAAGUUAAUUAAAACAAUAAAUCAAAUGAAUUUUAAUUUUAUUUGGAGAAAUAAACCACAUUAUAUGAAAAAAGCCUUAAUGGUUAAAAGCAUUGAGGAUGGAGGACUAAAUGUUAUAGACUUUGAUUGCCUAAAUGGGAUGAUAAAGUUAAACUGGAUCAAAUCAUGGCUUAAAGACAUUCACUCCUUCUGGUAUUGUGUUCCUCGAUAUCUGUUUCAAAAAAUGGGAGGACUGGAAUUUCUCUUGAAAGCAGAUUACGGUGUUAACAGAUUACCAGUUAAGUCAUCAAACUUUCAUAAACAAAUUCUUAUGUACUGGGAAAUGAUAAAUACUCACAAUUUCUCACCACACUCUAUCACCCUGUGGAACAACAUAUAUAUUAAUCAUAUAAAUCAAUCACUUUUCUUUAAUGAAUGGCAUGAGAAAGGCAUUUGUUCUAUGUUUCAUAUUUUGGAUCACUCUGGCAACUUUCUCAAUUAUGAAAAUCUUUGCGAAAAAUACAAUUUCAGGGCAAAUAAAUCUGUUUACUUUAAACCUAUUGGAAUAGAUUGGAUAAGUUUAAUCAAUCUAAUACAAGGUGCUUUACUUUAUCAAAACAUUACUCCGUUAUUACCAUCCUUAUCAGUAAAAGACAUUUCAAUACUUGAUGAAAAAUGUAAUAACAAAUUUUUAAGAAAACUCUUAAAUGAUAAUAUGUAUACAGAAAAACCCAAUAGAAAUAACAUAUUACACAAAUUUGAUCAAGCUACAGUUGAAAAAUUUAGAACCUUUUAUUUAAAAUUCUGUAUCUUUCCGAAGAGUAAAGAAACUCAUUUUAAAUUUAUGAAUGAUAUUUAUCCAUCGAAAGAAUUACUCAGAUUACGUUUCAAAAUUAAUGAUAAUAUUUGCACCUUCUGUAACAGUGACAUUGAAAUUGCGAAACAUCUAUUUGUCACAUGUCCUCAGGUGUUUUGGGUGGACAUAAAUAAAUGGUUAAAGAAAGCUUUUCCACUGAUAGAACCAUUUACCAUAGACAAUAUUAUUUUUGGGAUAUUGAUUAAUUAUAAAUUGGAUGAAACAUGUAUUAACACAAUUGUUUGUCUUGCCAAAUUUAAUACACAUAAAUGUAAAUACUUAAAGGUCCCCCAAAAAUUCAUUAUCUUCAUUUGUGAAUUUAAAUUAUAUCUAGAUUCACCAAAAUUACUAACGGGAAAUAAAUCUACAACUAUAUAUAAUAAACUUGUAGCUCUUCCCCUUGCGUUAGAAACGUGA
rnacentral:lncRNA from 1 species